AUUAAGUUGCAGGGGUGCCUAACUUAGGCUGAGAAGAAAUUUUUCUAACCCUUAGAACCUGAAACUAGGUAAUUCUAGCGGAGGAAGCAAUAUAGUUUCAUAU
rnacentral:ncRNA from 2 species